UUUUUUUUGUGUUUUUUUUUUUUUUUUUGAGACAGAGUCUCACUCUGUUGUCAAGGCUGGAGUGCAAUGGCGUCAUCUCGGAUCACUGCAACCUCCACCUCCUGGGUUCAAGCAAUUUUCCUGCCUCAGCCUCCCAAGUAGCUGGGAUUAUAGGUGCUCACCACUGCGCCUGGCUAAUUUCUGUGUUUUGUUUUGUUUUGAGACGGAGUCUCGCUCUGUCACCAGGCUAGAGUGUGGUGGCACCAUCUCGGCUCACUGCAACCUCCGACUCCCUGGUUCAAGCUAUUCUCCUGCCUCAGCCUCCCAAGUAGCUGGGACUACAGGCACCUGCCACCACGCCUGGCUAAUUUUUGUAUUUUUAGUAGAGACGGGGUUUCACCAUGUUGGCCAGGAUGGUCUCGAUCUCCUGACCUCAUGAUCCACCCGCCUCGGCCUCCCAAAGUGCUGGGAUUACAGGCAUAAGCCACCAUGCCCAGCCUUUAUUGAGCUCUUUCAAAGUUUCAGGCAGUAGGCUAAGUGCUUUACAUGUGCAUCAUCUCAUUUAAUCCUUACAGCAAUCCAAUGAGGUAGGUACAAUUAUUAUCCCCAUUUUGCAGAGGAGGAAAGAUAAAGAGGAACACAAAAUGAGCCCUGUUCUCAAGGAGCUCACAGUCUAAAGCAGGGAUCCCAAACCCCCGGGCCAUUAACUGGUACCUAACCGGUGACCUGUUAAGAACCCAGCCACACAGCAGGAGGUCAGCUGCAGGUAAGCAAGUAUUACCACCUGAGCUCCGCCUCCUGUCAGGUCAGUGGCCACAUUAGAUUCUCAUAGGAGCACAAACCCUAUUGUGAACUGCGCAUGUGAGGGAUCUAGGUUGCAUGCUCCUUAUUUUUUAUUUAUUUAUUUAUUUAUUUUUUGAGACUGGAGUCUUACUCUGUUGCCCAGGCUGGAGUGCAGUGGUGCGAUCUCAGCUCACUGCAACCUCUGCCUCCUGGUUUCAAGGAAUUCUCCUGCCUCAGCUUCCCGAGUAGCUGGGACUAAAGGCACCCGCCACUAUGCCCGGCUAAUUUUUGUAUUUUUAGUAGAGGCGGAGUUUCACCAUGUUGGCCAGAUUGGUCUCAAACUCCUGACCUCAAAUGAUCCACCCACCUCAGCCUCCCAGAGCGCUGGGAUUACAAGGCGUGAGCCAUUGUGCCGGCCUGUUGUGUGGUCCUUAUGAUAAUCUAACUAAUGUCUGAUGAUAUGAGGUGGAACAGUUUCAUUCCAAAAUUAUCACCCUACCACCACCUUGAUCCAUGGAAAAAUUGUCUUCCAUGAAACCAGUCCCUGGUGCCAAAAAGGUGGAGGACCCCUGGUCUAUAAUAAAAUCUACAGACUGAAAAACAAAUAACGAAACCAGAUGGAGCUAAGAGCUUUGGGAGCACAGAGGUGGGAGUCAUGUGAGCGCAGGAGUGUUGUCAGGGAAAGCACUUCACAAACUUGAUGUGUGAAAUUAACCAGGAAGGAUUAGGAGAAGUGAGCCUGGCUAGAGUGAGCCACUUGCAGAGGUGAAGAGGGAAGAAAGAGCAAAUCAGGUGUAAGUAGAGUACAGGAGUUGGAGGUAAGGCUGGACAAGCAAGUAGGGGCCACGCUGCCAGGUAUCCUGUGCAGACAAGGAACCUAUACACAGAAAGUGAUGCAGCCCUGGGCAGGCCUCAGGCUGCUGAGCAGGUUAUCACUGGAGCCUCAUGCAAAUCACGCUUCCACCUUUUCCACUAACUCUGUAAUUGCAAGCACCAGAAGGCCUCCUGUUGAUCUGGGGUCGCAGCAGUGCCCUCUGAGUGUAUGAGCAGGAGAGGUUUCUCAGCUCCUCCUUCCCUUGGGUGGUGGUGGUGGAUGGGGGAGGGUGGUAUUUGCCAGAGUUGAGUCUGUUCCCAGACCUCAGCCCUGCCCACUUGCUGAUGUAAGAAAUGCAGCCAACCCCUGAAAUGUGGAACCCUUCCAAGUAGCUUGAUCUGGGCUGAGGAUGGGGGAAAGAAGGGUCUGGCCUCCCAGCACAGCAUUGCCCUGCCUGCCUCAUCCUGGAGCAAUGACCACUCUCCACGUUUCCUCCUGCAUUUCCUUGCUCCAAUUCAGGUCUCACCCACCAAAGUGAGUUCUCCCCCAUAUUACCUGCUCCCCAUCCAGGUGAGAUGAAGAGGACCCUGGCCUGGGAAAGGGUUUGAUUUCCUCCUCUGCUACCAGUUUGCUGUGUGAUUUUGGGGAAGUCAUCCCUCUCUCUGGGUCUCAAUUUCCCCAUUGGCGAAAUUAACUUUGAAAAAUCUACAGUCCAAUUUUGGAAUGAAUAACUUCAGUCUUUAUUCACUGGGGGGUGGGGUGGGGUGGGGCAGGGAAUGGCAUGCCCAGCAUGCAACACAAGGCGUGGGUGGUGUGGAUUCACGGUCUUUUUGGAGAAGAGCAGGCAGGAAGCAGGUCAGCUGUGCAGUGUGGCCUGAGAAUGAGCUCAGAGCGGAAGAGGGGAAGAGGAACUGGGCUGUCCAGAAGGCUUCUUUCUGGAAGAGGCAGGACUGGAGCAGGGAUUUGAAGCGUGGGUCAGGUUGGAAAAAAAAGCAAACAUAAGGAAAGAGUGGAGUCCGGAGGUUGUAAGUCUCUGGAUAACUUUUCCAAGCGGGUGGAAUGGGAGUAGGGUGAGGAAAGGGUGCUUUGUCUCAAAACUUGUCCUCUAGUUCCUGACUCUCUGUGUGGAUGAGAGACUCCUCCAGAGGUCGCUGUUCCCCAGGAAUCCAUCACUAGCGUCCGCACCGCGAGGCCAGAGCUCCCACUGUUCCCCUGGCUCUGCUUCUAUGAGGCUUACGCGGCUCUGCAUCUGCCCAGAGGGCACAGAGACCUGACAAUAUUUCCGCCCCCACGAGGGUACUUACGGCCUCGCCAGUCACCCUGUCUGGGACUCAGAAGGGUCAUACGCGAAGGCGAGCGCAUGUGCACGUCUGUGGUACACGUAGGUAGCUAUGGCUCUGCACCCUCCCUCCUGCGCUGCCCCAAUUCAGGGCCCGGAAGGGCAUCCGGUUCCCGAGGUGCCACUGUGCCAGCAGGCAGCGUGUAAUUGGUAGGAGGGAGGCUGCCGCUGGAGUAUUCUUGGCUGUCCCUCAGUGCGAUCCCUGCAUGAACUCCUCCUUUUCCAUGCUACAGUCACAGACACUCAGCCCAGGCGCACGGUCGCACAUCCUUAUUCCCCAUUAAGGUCUCGCUGCUGACCCCAGCAGGUUUGUCCUCCC
rnacentral:lncRNA from 1 species